CUUUGCUUUUCCUCCUCCCUACAGUAUCUGCUAUCAGAGCAGAAGAGAGCUUAAGCUGUGGACCUAAAGCUGCAGACUAAAAUCUUUGCCUAGGACACCACUAACAUUUUGGAACUCCUGCAGAAAAACAGUAUUUCCCACAGCAAAGAUCUUGGAAUCGUUGAAAUCAGAGUGGAACAGUCCUGGUUCUUGCAAUUUCUUUUCUUAAGGUCUAAUUUGAAUUGACAAGCACACCUAAAACUGCAGAUGGGCUCAAGGAGAAAACAGGGGGUGUGAAGGCUU